rnacentral:rRNA from 1 species
GAGUUUGAUUCUGGCUCAGAACGAACGCUGGCGGCGCGUCUUAAACAUGCAAGUCGAACGAUCUGUAGCAAUACAGGGAGUGGCGGACGGGUGAGGAACACGUAGGAAUCUACCUAGAAGAGCGGGACAACUUUGGGAAACCGGGGCUAAUACCGCAUAGUACAGAGAUGUUAAAGGGCUAGCAAUAGUCGCUUCUAGAUGAGCCUGCGGUCUAUCAGCUUGUUGGUGAGGUAAUGGCUCACCAAGGCAACGACGGAUAGCCGGUCUGAGAGGAUGAUCGGCCACACUGGCACUGAGACACGGGCCAGACUCCUACGGGAGGCAGCAGUUAAGAAUCUUGCGCAAUGGGGGAAACCCUGACGCAGCGACGCCGCGUGAAGGAUGAAGGCUUUCGGGUUGUAAACUUCGGUAGACUGGAAGAAGAACUACGUCGUUGAGGCGUAGAGUGACGGUACAGUCUGAAGCCCGGCUAAUUACGUGCCAGCAGCCGCGGUAAUACGUAUGGGGCAAGCG